rnacentral:tRNA from 1 species
GAAAUAAGAUACAUUCAAGAAAAAGCUUCUAACUUUUAUCUUUAGCGGUGAAAUUCCGUUAAUAUUUCU